GGAAGCCCAGCAGUACAUAUAUUAAAAUUGGAAUGAUACAGAGAAGAUUAGCAUGGCCCCUGAGCAAAGAUGACACACAAAUUCAUGAAGUGUUCCAUAUUUUU
ensembl:snRNA U6 U6 spliceosomal RNA